GUGAACCUGAAACCGUUACGGGGGAAGCGGAUUGCGUUGGAUUGGUGGGCGCUUGUGUGUUCAGCCUUCGGGUGCAUUGGCACAAGUGCUUAUCCGCCGUGAGUUCUCGGGGAUCGAUUUUGGAUCUCUGGGGACUGAGGGCUCCCCUUUUUGGGUGAGGACGGCGGAGUGACGACGCGAUACGACCCGUCUUGAAACACGGACCAAGGAGUCUAGCGCGGGUGCGAGUCGGAGGGUGCAAGCCCGUGGGCGAAGUGAAAGCGAGUUUUAAAAACUAGCAGUUUGGGGCGGCAUAAGAUCGUUGAUCUUAAGACCGACCCAGAGCAGUUGCGCUGGGACCCGAAAGAUGGUGAACUAUGCCGGAGUAGGGCAAAGCCAGAGGAAACUCUGGUGGAGGCUCGUAGCGGUGCUGACGUGCAAAUCGCUCGUCGAACUUGGGUAUAGGGGCGAAAGACUAAUCGAACCAUCUAGUAGCUGGUUCCCUCCGAAGUUUCUCUCAGGAUAGCGGGCCGACAAGUUGUUUUGUGCGGUAAAGCGAAUGAUUAGCGCAUUUCGGGGGCGUUUAGCCUUCGGGCGAUUCUCAAACUUUCAAUGCGCAAGGGUGCCGCUGCUUAAUUGAGCGGUACCGGUAAAAACGUCGGCCCUGUGGGCCACUUUUGGUAAGCAGAACUGGCGAUACGGGAUGAACCGUAAGCAAGGUUAAGGCGCCAAACUGCCCGCUUAUAGACCCCACAAAAGGUGUUGAUUCAUCGAGACAGCAGGACGGUGGCCAUGGAAGUCGGAAUCCGCCAAGGAGUGUGUAAAAACUCACCUGCCGAAUGAAUUAGCCCUGAAAAUGGAUGGCGCUGAAGCGGGCGGCCGACACCUUGCCGUCUGAAUAAGACUUUCAGAUGAGUAGGAGGACGUGGUGAG
rnacentral:rRNA from 1 species